CCUACGGGUGGCUGCAGUGGGGAAUAUUGGACAAUGGGCGAAAGCCUGAUCCAGCCAUGCCGCGUGUGUGAAGAAGGCCUUCGGGUUGUAAAGCACUUUCAGUGGGGAAGAAAGCCUUGGGGCUAAUACCCUCGAGGAAGGACAUCACCCACAGAAGAAGCACCGGCUAACUCCGUGCCAGCAGCCGCGGUAAUACGGAGGGUGCGAGCGUUAAUCGGAAUUACUGGGCGUAAAGCGCGCGUAGGCGGUCUAAUAAGCCGGUUGUGAAAGCCCCGGGCUCAACCUGGGAACGGCAUCCGGAACUGUCAGGCUAGAGUGCAGGAGAGGAAGGUAGAAUUCCCGGUGUAGCGGUGAAAUGCGUAGAGAUCGGGAGGAAUACCAGUGGCGAAGGCGGCCUUCUGGACUGACACUGACGCUGAGGUGCGAAAGCGUGGGUAGCAAACAGGAUUAGAUACCCCUGUAGUC
rnacentral:rRNA from 1 species